AGCUGGAGAUAAGGCUGUGAUACAAGUCUGAGAUGUCCAGCCAGCAGCCAGGACGAUAGACAAGCUACCUACAACAAGAGGUCUCUCUCCUUCAAAGGGACAGGACUGGAGACACAUGUGGCUAUGACUGAGAGCUCCAGGCUUAUUCUAAACAGAGCUCCUUGGCCUGCGGACAAGGGGCAUGGGCGAAGAUGCCAGGUCAGGGUAGUGAGGGGCAUGCAGGCUGCUGAUGCACUUAGUGCCGCUGUAGUCAUCUCCAGUGUGUAAUGCACAGCAAUGACAAACAUCUCUCAUGCAAGAAACACUUCUGUAAAAUGUAAAUGUGUUCUGGAUAAAUCAUAAGUUAGGUCUGUGCCUGAAUAUCCUCUAGGAGUAUGCAGCAGCUACCCUUCAGACAGCUGCCAAGCUGAAGGAGCUCUGUGUGUUCAGCAUCCCUGCAACGCAAAACAAAAGAGGAGCUCAUCAUUCUCCUGGUGCUCUUGUUGUGAAGGACUACAUGCUGUGAGAACACACAGAACAGAAAAGGACCGAUAUUUUUCCAUAAAACCUGAUAAAACUUUCUGAAAAGGCAGUUUUUGAGAGACUUUUUUUUUMUUUUCCCCAAGAUGGAGACUCUACAGCAAUUGUGAUUAGACCUCCUCUUGUUAGCUACUUGCUCUUUGCUGAUUUGUAUGAACGGAUAAUAACAGAUAAUUCAGUCUGCUGUUGUGCUGCUGAGAGUGACUUGUCAAGAGGAAGAGUGA